GGACUGGCGAAAAUUUUAAGGAUUCUAGCAGUUCGAGCAGUUUUGCUCCACCACGAUAACCUCCCUCAACUUGGAGCGUAACAGCGUUGGAGAAGCACUUUUGGAUGUGUAUGCGUGCCUGCGUUGGUAUUCCGUCUAAAAGUGCUAUUACUGUAGUUGUUGUUUUUGCUACUAUUAUUGGCGGCAACGGUUGAAGCAGUACAACCAGUGGAUUUUACAGUGGUGUGCUCUCCGCGGCUGCCGCCGUCCUCCCAGUCAUCGCCGUCUGCGUUUUGCUCCUCCGUCUUGGAUACUUGCCGAUGGUCAAAAUAGAAAUGUCAGUUAUGUUGAAGGUUUUUGCAAGAAUAGAUGCUGUUGGUGAAGUUUUUUUGCAUUGUUGUUAAAAUAUAAACAAAAUAACAAUAAACGAGUGUGUGAUAUUAUUUUAAUUAAAUCCAUCGAUUUGAAUAAUGACAUAAUAAAAUAAAUUUGAAUUCAGAUGGGUACCUCCGAGAAACUCUGACUGGCUUCACCUCCAAAUCUUCUUCCUAAAAAGAUCGAUACGCGAAUGGUUUCAAAUUCUCUUUCGUUUGGUGACAAUAGCAAAAAAUGCGUGAGUGAACUCUGGCGGUGCAAUAAACCACGUCUUGACCAUUUACCACCAGCGUGAACAUCUAAAUCGCGGCAUCCAUCUAAACGUGGAUGUAACCGUUUUUUUUUUCUAGAUUUUAUUUAUGGCUUCUAUAUGAAUAAUAAUCCGAAUUUAUGUGAUUUAUUAAUGUGCUUCGUGAAAAUAUAAAACUAGUGAUUUAUUGUACAUACACUGCUACAAAUGUCCAAUUGGUUUUGUGCUGAGAGUGCAUAGAAUUAGUGCAGAUUGAGCCGAUAGAAAGACGGUAAUUGCAUCUUCCAGUUGGAAUUUCGGGUGAAUUUGGCGCGUUUUCUCACUGAGGUGCAAUAAAAAUUAUAUAUGCUACCACCAUAAAGAAGGCAACUGUUGGGCAGCACGCAGAGGGAAGCCAGAGGCUAUCCAGUGCUUCAAAACGAACUCGGCUGGAAAAUACCACUCUAUGCACUAAGAAAGCACUUCCAGAAGAAAAACAUUCAAAUACCCAAUGAAUGAGCAAGAAAUUAUCUCCAAAAUUAAUGAAUGGAUUCCAUCUUGUGCAGAGGAGAAUAGCCAGCAUCUCAUCUCUUCGGAUUCCGAUCCCAUUCCAUCCUAUCCUCAUCUGGUCGUCGUCUUAUCCAACUGAUAAAAAGCUUAUAUUAUUAUUGUGUAUUUUGUGAAUAAAUUAUUUCUUGCCGGAAAAACGUGAAGUGAAUGAGACAGUUUUAGUGGUGCUUUGAGAUAAUAAUACAUACAUAAUACGACAAUGAUUUGAAUUUGUGCGGUUUGAGUUUGUGUGGAUUUCAAUGUGAAUAAUGCCCAAACGAUCACGAUACUGCAUAAUUAAAUUUGUGAUAAAAGAUAAUAGUAAAGAGGCAGGAACUCAACAGUUCUAAUAAAGGAAACAUACGGAGGAAGAGCUGACAUUCUGGUGGAACGUGUUUGAAAAGACAAACAUCCAAAUGGGACCACAAUGAUGGAUCGUAUUCCAUCACUUUCCCUAUCCGGCAUAUCACUAACACAUCCGCUAUCGAUAUCAACCGGACCAAGUCUCACAAAUCACUUGUCCUCGCCCUCGCUCGCAGGAGGACAACAUCAUCACUCCGUCUCGCAGCAUCACAGUCACAACUUAAACUCGCUCAAUCUUCACCACCAACAAAAUCUCCAUUCGUCACAACCAUCAGCAACGAAUCCUGCAGUUGCUGCGCUCUCUGCUAUUUCCGCAUCUUCACCAUCAAUUUCGACUGUUUCAAUACCACAAUCGUCCGGAUCAAGUACGUCUUCAUCACUUCUGCAUCACUCACAUCACCACCACCAUCCCGCGUCAACGCAUCACUUAGCACAUAGCACAACUCACCAUUCAUCACAAAGUUCAUCACAAGCAGCAGCACCAAUGAGUAAUCUACACCAAAACAUGGGAUCUCUCAUGAAUGGCGGGAACAGUGCAAGUGAUGUCUUUUUUAGUUUGAUGAUACAAAAUACAACGAAACGGCAGGCCGAGGAACAUAUCAAACGACCGAUGAACGCAUUCAUGGUGUGGUCGAGACUGCAACGACGGAAGAUUGCUCAAGACAAUCCAAAGAUGCACAACUCGGAAAUAUCAAAGAGAUUAGGUGCCGAAUGGAAGCUAUUAACAGAAGAUGAAAAACGUCCAUUUAUUGAUGAAGCUAAACGAUUAAGGGCACUGCACAUGAAAGAGCACCCGGACUACAAAUAUCGUCCCAGGAGAAAGCCAAAAGCACUAAGACGUGACGGAUACCCUUAUCCUAUGCCAUAUCCUUCUGUGCCAGUUGAGGCUUUAAGAGCGGGUAUAACACCUGGUUACUUCGCGCCAGGACAUGCAUACCAUUUAGGCAGUCACCUCUCGCAGACGAGUCCGCCGACAUCACAGGCCUCAAUAGCCAGCCAAAUGGACGUCUCGAAAUUCGCCCUGGACCGGAGCUCAUAUCUAAGCUCUGCCGCGGGUAGUCUCUACGAUACAUCGAAAGCAGCCCAAGCAAGUGCAUAUAGUGCCUAUUUGGAUCCUACCGUCCUCACGAAAGCCUACUUUGACUCGAAAAUGUACCAGGAUCGUGCCGCCAACUAUGCAUUUGAUAUAUCGAAAAUUUACGGAGCUCAACAGCAGCAGCAGCAACAGAUGCACCAGCAACAGCAACAACACCACCAACACUUAUUGAACGGUAUUACGGGUCUAUCUAGUGCUAGUAACAUCAUUAACAACAAUAAUAAUAACAACAAUAGCUUGGACGAACGAGAAUCCACCCCACAACUAGAUGUCGCCAAUGGGCCAGGGGGCGGCGGAGCCGGUGGCAGUGCAGAUAACAAGGUCCAUCAUCCCCAUCAGCAGCCACAUGCGCAACAGCCACAGCAGCAGCUGGCCGGAACCGCGGACGGUCAAUUAGAUGCAAUUGGUUCUUAUGGCGGUUACUCACAAUACGGCCAAGGAGGCAGCACCGGUGACUUCCGACGGCCGUUAACGGUCAUUUUUUGACCAGACAAACACUAGGCACUUUUUUGAAGGAAAAUGGAUCCAUCUUACAUUUCGAUUCAUGUUCGUAAUUAUAAUUAAAAACGAUAAUUUAUUGUAAAUGUGAUAAAUUGGCAUAUUACUGGCGUCCAAAGGCCAACAAGUAUUUAUAGAAGCUACGAAUGCAAUAUCUCGUCCCAGCAGGAUACAAUGAAUGAGAGCAUCUCAAAGAUAAAUUGUUAAAACGUUAGACGAUUCAAAAAUAAGUUCAUAUUCAACACAACUCAAAUGUGUGGUACUGUCAUCAUAGAUGAUCCCUCAGUUGUUUCCUUAUUUAUAAAGCUAGUUAUCGUUCAAUGUAUUACGACUAGGCAACGUAAGAACCAACCAGAAAAAAUUAUAGGAGCUAAGCGAUAUUGUAAAUGAACUUUAUGUUGGCAGACAGAAGAAAUGUAGGCUAAAUAGAAGAGAGUAUUUGAUAAACUAAAAUUAAAUUAAAAAGUAAAAAUAAACAUAAAAUAAACGUCAA
rnacentral:misc_RNA from 1 species